rnacentral:scRNA from 1 species
UGCAAAUAAAGGAAAAAAUAGAGGCAAUGGCUGCAUCUCUGUUCUUUUUGUCAUCUUAAGAAAAGCAUCAGGAGAGUGCUUUCUGAAUUGCAGAGAUUUAAUAGUGGGUGUGUCUGUGUGUGUGUGUGUGUACACAUGCYAUUUGGGGGCCCUGAUGGAAGGUCAGUGACUGCAAAGCAUCUGAUGCCUUUUUGAGUCCUUCCUCAUUUCAAAGCAAGACUUCAUCUCUGGCUUCAUUUUUGAGUUCCAUCUGCACUCACUAGAACUUUCCACACCAAUCACUUCCAGCAGGUUCACAAUUCCUUGUUACAGUGGACUCCUGUAA